GAAAUUUGAGUUGCAUGCUGCAACAGAUAUUAGGAGGAUUGUUCAUUCAAUCUCAAAGAGAGGUCAUAUCUCCUCGCUUGAUGAUGCUGUAUUAAGCUUCUUUGAUGUUAUUACCUGAUUGAAACAAGCAAUAAAAUCAAGGUAACAGAAGAAAUACAAGCGAACAAAAAUUGAUUUCCUAACAUUUAAAGAAUUACUGGAGAUACAUCUAGAUGACUAUUUUAAACCGAGAAUGCACAUUCAAGCAUUUCUGAUUCAUUGAAUUGGAUGAGGGAAAAAUUUUAAUCAGAUCCAGGAAGCAAUUUAACAUUGGCUUUUCCCAAAUGUCUAGCUGCAGCAGGAAUUAUUCGGGAAGGUGAGAGAACCUCAGCAUAAGAUAUGUUAUAUGAAUCUGCGCCUAGUCGACAUUGUAACCAUCCUUUGCUUCCAGAAAAUCCAUCCGCUACAAUCCAGCAGUUCUUAAAUCCAAGACUUGUUAGUGCUCUAGCAACCGUUUUGCUGAAUCUGAGUACCUGAAUAUCUCAAGGCAUUCAAGUUAAAAGCCAGAAAAAACAUGAAAGAAAGAAAUCAUUGGAUCUUUAAAGCAGAGCUAUAUAUAUAGAUCAUAGGAGAGAAGCAAGGAGGAAGAAUCCACGAGUCCAUGAUAACAAUGUUGGAGCCUUUGUUGAUUUUCUUGAGAUAUGAAAUCUUCAAAGCAGCUAAUUCAGCCUCUACUUUCUUUACAUUUCCGACAAGGUCUCUCAACUUGCUUGGUAGCUCUUCCAAACUUAAACAUCAGUGGUAAUGAUAAGUUAUAACUGAAAAAUGCUGAUCUAAACUGUAAUAAGAACCAUAAAAGAAGAAAGCAAAGAAAGAAUGCAAGUCAAGGAUUCUCAACCUUCCAAUGCAUUGCUUAAUCUCAAAAGGAUUUCUAGCAUGCCUGGUGCAACUGGUUGUCUAGUUAGGGGGUGCAACUGGUUGUCUUGUUAGGGAAAUUAGAAAUCAUACAACAAUAACUUUUGCAUCUUCUAAAAUCUUCUUACCAUCAGGUAGAUAGUUAUAUUUCUAAGAAAAGAAGGAAGGUGACAAGCUUCCGUAGUGCAUUUUUUUACUUUUAAUCUCAUAAUACUUAACAGCCAAAGAAAUAAGAAACAGCAGGAAUAGUCCUAAUAUUCUUGACUUUUUCUGCUGGAUCACAAAAAUGAAAUGAAUGCACUGAAACAAAUAGAUUUAUUUACUUACGGAAUUGCGAUCAUCUUGUUCUUAGCAUUGGAGGGAAGGCGGGGUAUACCAGCCUUCUUCUUCUCCUUCUCUGAACGAAUGUCUAUCAUAACAUAAUUUUUUGUAGAUACUAGAUCAAGGGUAUGAGCAGGAGUCAGCUCACCUAAAGGGUCACAGCAAGACAUGGAUUAGCCCCACUUCAUAAUAUUAGUUUCCCAUUAUUCCAUAACUUCCUCUAGUACAAACUUGAAAAAGCUAGACAGGAAGGAAUAUGAAAUAUGAAAAUCCUUGGUGUGGUGAGCCACCACAGUGAACGGAACAGUGCUGUAGUGAUUAAGAAAUCGAAUGAACAAAUAUAGUAAGUGAAUUAGUUGUUAAAAAUGUGAUUACAAAAUGUCAAUGAACAAAUACAACUAUGGAAAACUGAAUAAAGUAAAUGCAGAAAGUGAAUAAUGGAAUACAGAUUGUGUAUGAAACUUAUGAAAAUUUUGUAAUAAAAAGUGACUCACCACGACACUAUUCACUGUAUUGAGCCAUUAUACCUAGGAAAGCUCUGUGAAAUAAAGGCUCAUAUUCAAUAUUGAACCAGUAACUGGAAUUUCAAAGGGUUACCAUGGUACCUAAAUCUAAUCUCUUUUUAUACUUCAUUUUCACUUGUCUAUAUCUACUAGUGGAAUCCAUUCAAGCCUCCCUACAUUAAGCGAAACAUUAGAU
rnacentral:misc_RNA from 1 species